GAUGAACGCUGGCGGCGUGCCUAAUACAUGCAAGUCGAGCGAACAGAUGAGGAGCUUGCUCCUCUGACGUUAGCGGCGGACGGGUGAGUAACACGUGGAUAACCUACCUAUAAGACUGGGAUAACUUCGGGAAACCGGAGCUAAUACCGGAUAAUAUAUUGAACCGCAUGGUUCAAUAGUGAAAGACGGUUUUGCUGUCACUUAUAGAUGGAUCCGCGCCGCAUUAGCUAGUUGGUAAGGUAACGGCUUACCAAGGCAACGAUGCGUAGCCGACCUGAGAGGGUGAUCGGCCACACUGGAACUGGGACACGGUCCAGGCUCCUACGGGAGGCAGCAGUAGGGAAUCUUCCGCAAUGGGCGAAAGCCUGACGGAGCAACGCCGCGUGAGUGAUGAAGGUCUUCGGAUCGUAAAACUCUGUUAUUAGGGAAGAACAAAUGUGUAAGUAACUAUGCACGUCUUGACGGUACCUAAUCAGAAAGCCACGGCUAACUACGUG
rnacentral:rRNA from 1 species